rnacentral:lncRNA from 1 species
AUCUAAACGAGGUAAAGCAGUACGGGCGUACAUUUCUUUACACGGUGUUCUACUGAAGGGCACAGGAAAAGUUACAGAAUGACAAGAGAGACAGACAAGGGGAGGGGCUCCUGUGAUGGGAUCAGUCAGAUGCCUGCCUGGCCGCUCCCCCUGAGGGGACUUGGGCUCCUCUUAACAUUGGCAGGCUGGUAUAAACUUCCGGCUCAGAUCAAGCUAUGCCUGAUGCUGCCUUAAGCCUUAUGAGGUCGCCACGGAACCGCAGAAACUCCUGGAGGGCAGAGCUGUGUCUGCCAUCUUCAUCAUUGCAUUACCACCACCAAGCACAGUGCCUGGCACAAAAGAGUUGCUCAAUAAAUAAAUCAGGAUGAAUGGAUAAAUACAUGGAUAGGCACUUUGAGCUACAGAUGAGUUUAAAUACUUUGUGUUUUUCUUAGUCAAACAUGUGCAAUUAAGCAUGUGAUAAAUGAUAUGAUGACCACA